CUUUACAAGAGGCGAAGCCCCAUUAUUCCAGCCAUCUGUUGCUUGGCGCAGGGAUGGGACUGACAUAAAACCACAUAUUCCAAAGGAAGAACUUUUCCUGAUUGUAAAGAAGACAAUAAAUGAGAGGUGAACUCCUAGGCUUUGAAAGGAGCCAAGAUGGAGGAAAAGGGGCAUUUUCUCAACUUCACGGUGUUUCAGGGAUGACUCACUGUUUACUCCUGUGGCUGGAGCCUGGAGACAUUGCUGCUUACCUGGACAGAUCUUGUGGUCUGUGGAGCCCAAAAAGGGGUCACCCUGCUGCUGAGUCUGUGACCCUAUGUG
rnacentral:lncRNA from 1 species